rnacentral:rRNA from 1 species
UACAGAGGGUGCAAGCGUUAAUCGGAAUUACUGGGCGUAAAGCGUGCGUAGACGGUUAUGUAAGUCGGGUGUGAAAGCCCCGGGCUCAACCUGGGAAUUGCAUUCGAGACUGCAUAGCUAGGGUGCGGAAGAGGGAAGCGGAAUUUCCGGUGUAGCGGUGAAAUGCGCAGAUAUCGGGAGGAACACCAAUGGCGAAGGCAGCUCGCUGGGACGGUACUGACGCUGAGACGCGAAAGCGUGGGGAGCAAACAGG